GGAUGUGAGGGCCAUCUGGCUGUGACAUCUGUCAUCCCACUGAGCACCAGGGCAGAUUCGGCCGAUCUGGCUGGCUAGGCAGGUGUCCCCGUCCUCCCUCACCGCUCCAUGUGCGUCCCUCCUGACUGCAUGCUCAGUCAAAGAGGACUACCUUCCCAGGUAGAGGAGGACCAUUCUUUGGUCAAUGGCAUACAAGUAGCAGUGCUCCCCUGCUAGAACCUCCAAACAAGCUCUCAAAAUAUUAAAUAUUUAGGGAUAAAUUUGACAAAAGAUGUGCACAACCUAUGCACUGAGAACUA
rnacentral:snRNA from 1 species